rnacentral:rRNA from 1 species
CGCCUUGUGAUAAAAUAUACAAGGUCUAGCCUGCCCGGUGAUUUAUUUUAACGGCCGCGGUACCCUAACCGUGCAAAGGUAGCACAAUCACUUGUUCCUUAAAUAGGGACUAGUAUGAACGGCAUCACGAGGGUUAUGCUGUCUCCCUCUUUUAAUCAGUGAAACUGAUCUCCCCGUGAAGAAGCGAGGAUAUUAUUAUAAGACGAGAAGACCCCAUGGAGCUUUAAACUCAGAAACACCAGCUACUUUUUAAAUCAAAUUAAUUGGCUUCCAUGAUUUCUAGUUUUCGGUUGGGGUGACCAUGGAGUACAACACAACCUCCUUGAUGAACGGAACUAGUUUCCUUAUUUAAGAACUACAGUUCUAAAAAUCAACAUAUUGACAAAAAUUGAUCCAAAUUUUUUUUGAUCAACGAACCAAGUUACCCUGGGGAUAACAGCGCAAUCCAUUUCAAGAGCUCAUAUCGACAAAUGGGUUUACGACCUCGAUGUUGGAUCAGGGUAUCCCAGUGGUGCAGCCGCUACUAAAGGUUCGUUUGUUCAACGAUUAAAACCCU